rnacentral:tRNA from 1 species
GUUGGCUCAGUGGUAGAGUGCUUGCCUCGCAUGCAAGAGGCCCUGGGUUCUAUUCCUCAGCACAACA